CCUUCAUCUUCAUUGUGCUAAUUCCCUGAAGCUGGCCUUAAAAGUUAAGUCUCACAUGCAUAAUCUUUAUUAUUUUGGACCAAAUUAUGAGAAAUCUUACCAAUUAUGUAACAAAUGCAAAAGUUACAUUGGUAAGGAACCUUUCUACUAUUGCGUGGAGUGCAAUAUGAAUUUGCACUUAAAAUGUGUUCCCAUACCAUGUUCAAUUAAAUCCAAAUGUCACAUGCAUCGUUUGACUCUUAAAGAUCAUUUUGUGGAAGAUGAUUCUGGAGAAUACUAUUGCGACAUCUGCGAAGAAGAAAGGAACUCAAAAAAUCAUUGCUAUUAUUGUGAAGAGUGUGCUGGACAAUUUGUUGCUCACAUCGAGUGCGCGCUUCUUAUAGUAAGUUUAUCACUAUCAUUUUCUCUGUAGAAUUUUUCUAUAUCAUAUUAUUGAAUUUUCUAAAGGAAAAUAAGAAUCUAAAUUACACAUCACAUGAUCGUAUCCACCAUCUCUUUGAUUGAUUGGACUUUAUUAAUGGUUAAAGUACCUCAUAGGUCCAUAUACUAUAGAUUUUUCGUUCAACUAAUCUUUUUUCCCAAAAUUGGUUAAUUUAAUCUCUGUACUUUGAGAUUUUAUGUAAUGGAGUCAUUUUACUUAACUUCAUCCAAAUUAACCAUUAGUGGUACUGGUGACGCACUGACAUGUCAGAUAAAAAAAAAUUGACCAUGUGGCAUUUUUUUCUUUCCUCCUUUUUCUUUGCUCAUAUGUUCAAAACUACAUUGUUUUAGAGUACUAUUUAAAGCGGAUUUAGUUUUUUAUUUUUCAUUUUCCUUUUUAUCCUUCUCUUUAGCUUUCUUCUCUCCCUAGAUUUCGACCCCUAAAUGCAAAUUCUGGCUAUCGAUCACUAGUAAUAUGAAAAUCUAAUAAAAAAUAAAAAAAUUAGUUUUUUGGCCUUAUUUCCCAUAAUUAGGAUAGCUUUUUCAAAAUCUAUCUCGAUUUUUCUAGAUCUAAAAUCAUAAACUUGUAAAAAAGAAGCUUGUUUCUUUCCAUUGCUGUGUCCUCAACUUGAUGUUAAUGAUCAAGGGUUGUGUUUUUCAUGUUGUAGGAUUUUGAAUUCGGAGAUGGAAAUUUUCAUGAAUUUUCCAUCUUGAAAGAUGCUGGCUCACCUAUUGAGAGUUCCUCUAUGGAUAAGUUGCUUUCCCAACCCCAUGCUGAAGUUUACUUGAACCAAAACAGAAUGGUAGUUAAGUCCUAUAUAAGUUAUUUUAAAGAUCUCAUCUUUUAUGCGAAAAUGAAUUUUAUUUUACGAAUAGUUGAAUGAAAGAAAAGUUUCACGAUUUUGUGGGUGCCAUUGUCGUUGCAGAAGUAUUGGGUGAAUGAGAAGUUAAACAAAUACUGCUUCAUGUUGUUUGCAAGAGAUCUUUCAAUCAGUUGGGUAGAAGAGCACCGUUAUUGGCGUUGGUCAUACCAAAAAGAAACAAACAGGUUAGCGUAGAUUUAUUAUCCAUUGAGAAUCCUUACUUCAUAGUUCUAGCUUGACAGCUUUCUUAAUCCACAAACUUUUGAUUUUGUAGCGAUGUGUUGAUUGAUGUUGUCGAACUUCUAAAGGUGUGUUGGCUAGAAAUGAAUGUGAAAUUCAAUGUAAAAAAGCUCUCACUGGGAACUUUGUAUGGAGUUAUGUUUGUGUUUAAGUUGACAGAUGAAGCAUAUGGAUGGGGAUGUCCAGUGAACUUUGGAUUCACUCUUCCAAAUGGGGACAAGGUUGAACGCAAGGAAAAUUUGAUGACCAAGCCGAGAGGAGUAUGGAUAGAAAUCCCUGUCGGAGAAUUUACAACUUCAUCCGAAAUUGUUGGAGAAUUACAUAUUUGCUGUCACCAAUAUGAUGAAUUGAAUUGGAAAGGAGGACUUAUUGUUAAAGGAGUUGCUAUUCUACCAAAGAAUUAAGUUAUAAAUUAGUAUUUUGUCAUAAUAAAUCUGAAAGUACUGUAGUUUUUUUGUUUGUUCAUAAUCUUGCAAAUUCUAAUAUGACAUGAACUUGAAAGGAACCAACUCAUCCAAUAAUCACCUCAACACUUGAACCAGUUUUCCGGUUCUCAUUAUACAAUAUAGGUUCCAUGCUAAAUGCAACAAACAAGCUCAUUGAUUUUUUUGAUAUUUUUUAUUAGAUUUUUUGACCACCAGUGACUAGUGGUUGGCUGUCGAAAUCUGGGUUUGGGGAUCAUAAUCUAGAAUAAAUUAUUGGAUAGAGAGCGAAAAAGGAAAGAAGGAACAAUGAAAAAAAAAACUAAAUGUCCUUUAAAUAGUAGGCUUAAAAUAACUAGUUUUGGACAAAUAAGAGAAAAAAGAAAAAGAAAAACCAUGUGAUCAAUUUUAUUUUUUUAGUUGAACAUGUCAACGUUAGCAUUUUUUGACAUGUCAGCUCGUCGUUAGCACCACUAAUAAUUAAUUUGGAUGGAGUUAGAUAGAGAGAAUCAAUAGUACAAAAUCUAGGUAAGAGGGACUAAAUUAAUCAGUUUUGGAUAGACAGACUAAAUUGAUAAAAAAAAAAAUCUUUAAUAUAGGUAUCUAUGAGGUACUUUGACCAUUAAUGAAUUCCAAUCAACCAAAGAGGUGAUGGAUAUGAUCAUGUAAUGUGUAUGUGUAAUUGAGAUUCUUAUUUUCCUUCAAAAAAAUUCAAUAAUGUAGUAUAAAAGAAAUCUAUAAAGAGAAAAAAUAAUUGUUCACGCCUCAACAUUUCCUGAAACCUUUUCAGCACUUUGAAGCUUUGUCCAUUAAUUAAUCGCCUUGUUUCAAGCAUGUUCUCAUAGUAACAAAAGUCUUUACACUGUAUAGAACCUUUUGUUUCUUUUUGACCUCCUGUAAUCUUGAGCAAGGCUGAUUGUGUAUAUAGUGGAGCAUAGUUGUGUACAUAGGGAGAUGCAUGCUUAAGCUACAGGGAUGGUUUUUGUUCACUUGCCUUUUUGUAUAUUGAUUUUGCUUAAGGCAUAAAGGUAUAGAAUUUCAAAAAAAAGAUAUAAAAUUGUGGUAUUAGCAUCUUGAUAGCCACAUUUGGAAUAAAAAGGUAGCAAUUAAAAGAAGCAUUUUAUCCUUAAUGAUGAGCAAGCUUUUUUUAGCCUUUUUCAUUUUUAUAUUCUCUCAAUAAUUUCCUUCUUUAAAUAAAUAAAAACAAUGUUGACAGGGCAUGAAGCACAUGCCAUUUUCUUGUUUUUGGUAUAAAGGCCUGAGGGAAUCUUUGUUUAGGUUUUGUAUUUAAACACACUCUCUCAUCAAGAGGCUAGUAGUUGAUCAUCUCUCUUUCUUCAUCUACCUAAAUUUCUUUCUUUGUUUGUUUGAGAAAACAAAGUAGAGACUAUUCUGCUAUGGGGAUAUUCUAUACUUGUUUUCGAUAGAAAUUUAGUACCUCCUCAAGUCCUCAACUGUCUUGGUGAUGCAAAAAGGGGGUUGUAGCUAGAAAUAAACCACAAAAAAUAUGCAAGCAAGGCUGUUGAUGUGAAUGAUUUAGCUUGGUUUGGGUUAUACAAGGCGUAACGAUUCUUUGAACGUCAAAUACACUUUUCUAUAUUUAAGCUUAUUCUUCAUAAUGUGUAGGAUUGUAGGGCAUUUUAUUCAAUUAUAUUUUGGUUAGAUUGUAGAGAAAAGAAAGCUAGAGAAAAAGACAACGGAGAGAAACAUUUUUUGACAAUGAUUCAAAAUUUAAUUUCAUUAAUAAGUUAAAGAAUUAUAGCAAACUGUCAAAAAGGUCAAAAAAAACUUUUUUCUGCUUCUUUUAUUCUCUCUUGGCUAGAAGAGAUGUGCAUUCUUGAACCAGUGAUUUGCAAAUAAGUGACUACUUUUCCUGUAUACCUUUGAGUUGAAUGACCAUGUACUUAUCAAUUAUGUAUAUUUCAACAAAUUUAUGUUAAUAUUCAAGUUUCUAAUAUUUGAACGAGUGUAUAUUUGAUGCAUUAAUAGUGUCUAUAAGAUACAUUGUCAGUGCAUUAAAUAUGAAUCCUAUUUAAAUAGAUUAAGAGUACAUAGUUAAGAAUUGCAGAGAGCUUAAUUUGAGAUAAUAGCUUUUUGUAUGAAAAAAGAAAAAGAAGAUUUGGCUUUUUUUUUUUAUUUGUUUUUGUUAAUUUUAUUAUGUCAGCUUGAUUUUAUGUCAACAACCUUGUCAAUUCAUUAUGGUUAGUAAUCAACAGUUUUAAUAACAAUGCUUCCUAACAUAAAGUUUAAAGGGGAAAAUAAGAGAUUGCAAACUCAAAACCUUGAUGUCUUUUAGGCUUUUCUUGUUUCUUUGUCCUUUUGUAUUUGUUGUUUUAGUUAUAAAAUUGUGGAAGUAGCAUCUUGAUUGCCACAUUUUCGAUAAAAAAGUACCAAUUUAAAAAAACAUUUUAUCUUUAAUGAUAAGUAAGUUUUCUUUGACUUUUUUCUUUUUCUUGAAAGACAAAGACAAUAGUAUUCCAUAAAAAAGGAUAUGUGUUAAUUAAAUUAUUUGAAGGCAAGAAAUUAAGAUUAACAUCAAUAUUCGCUUCCAAAUUCUCACUAUUAUUUCUUUCUUUAAAUAAAGAAAAAAAUAAUAUUGUUUUUGAUCAUUCAUUUGAUUAAUUAAUCUGAAAUUGUCGUUGUAUUAGUAAAAUGAGUCGUAAUCACAAUAUGCAUGCGAUGUGUUUUCAUUGUACAAGUAAUUAUUGUAUAACUAAAGCAAAAAGAAAGUAAUUGCUACAUAACAUUAUUUUACUUAAAGGGAAACAUUUAAUUAAAAAAAAGUAAUCCCAAACUUAAAACAUUUUUUAAACAAAACGCUCCCCUUCUUAAACUAAAGUGAGAAUCAAUUAAGUAUGGUACAGCUUAUAGAUACAUUUAUGCCACCAGUAAUGCUUUGUUUCAGAAUUAUCUUUCCUUUUUAGAAACAAUAAAGAUGAAUUAUAUAUUAAAAAAGAGAGGGAUAAGAGUAUUCCUUUACAACCAGACAAAAAAGACCCACGACUACAUCAAAAACAGCCAAUGGGGCUUAAAAAUUUGGGUAGACCAGUACUUACCUUAGGUCCUGCCAAGUAGUAUUAAAAAGAAAAAAUUACAAAAGGUAAGAAAACCAUAACAAAAGGACCUGUACAUAAUCUUUUCCUAGAAGAAAGAUCCAAAAAAGGGUUCAAUUAAUAUCCCUUAAAAAAAAAAAAGCAGUAUAAACGAAGAAACAUCAAUGGUUCCCAUGAAAGUAGCAGCGAGCAUUAUGUUGCACAACAAAAGUAAAUAAAGCAGGGGACAGAACACCUCACACUAGGUUAAUAUUCUUUUCCGGGGCUAGCAUGCUGUCGUUGAUCCGAAACAAAUCUGAUAUCAAUCACUUUUUGUCUUUCUUAAUAUCAAUCACUUUUACAUAGAAUUUAAUUUUAAUUUUACAUUUGAAUUGUUGUGCUAGGUUAUGGUCGUAGAGGGGUCAACUUGAUGUAAGUUAAGCAACUUGGAUUUACGGCAUAAAACUCAACUAAAUUCCAACAAAGAUUAGUUCCUAACCCAUAUAGUAAAUUUGCAUAUCACCCACAUUAUAAACUAAUCAAUUACUGAAAACAUGAAAUUACCACUAGUACGUGCUUGCUAAAUCUCAUAAAUAAAUCAUCUUAAUAAGCAAUAAUUAUGUGUGCGAGGGCUAAUUAUUGUAGUUAACAUUCCAUGAAUUUUACCUCAAAAUUUGUGUUAAUAUUCUAGGUUGUGAUCAAGUCAUAUGUUCAAGUUUCUAACAUUUAAAUAGACUAGGAGUACUUCAUGAAUGAAGGGGUUUAAUUUGAAGUAAUAGCUUCAAGUAUGGAAUAAGAAAAACAAAGAUUAUGCUGUUUUUUUUUCCUUUUUUUUAAUAUUUUCUUGUCUUAGGUUGAUUUUAUGUCAACACUCUUAUUCACUAUUUGGUAAAUUUGGACACGUGUAUUUCUGCAGUAAUGUUUGUGAAAUGGUUUGGACAGCUAUUUAUUUCAGAUGUGCUGAGAGGUAGUUUAAUUAUUUUUGUUGACUGAGUUGUAUUUUCAAAGGUUGGGCGAACUUGUUAAAGAGUCCAACUGGACCUAUUUAUCCCCAAAAUUGAGCUUAAUUUUGGCAUAUGGCAUGUGGCAUGCCGCAUUGCCAAAGCUCUUCAAGGAAGAGCACAAGCAAAACCAGAGGCAAUGCGACGAGUAAAGGCCAGAUAAAUAAGAAGGCUAACCAUAAUUUAACCAAAAACAAAAAUGAAAAAAGAAAGAAAGAAAGAUAGUACACAUCAUGUCAUCACUCAUCAAUUAGACAUCCCAUCGUCACCAACCCAGGGUCCUUGGUCAACUUCAUCCACAUACGUUGUCCAGUAAAAAUCACUCAAGUGUCUCGCAUUGCUCGAAAAGGACAAAAAGACUGCCACGUGCUACCUUACGGGCAAUUGCUACUAGAGUUCUCCACCGCCCGCUUGGUGUCGCCUGUACAGCCACAACCACAGCCACCACCAUUUGCAUUUCUCCUGAUUCAGAAUUCUUAUCACAUUACUACUGUUGGAAAAGUGUUUGACAAACAACUUUCACCUGGUAAGUUGGACUCACUAUAACCUUUAUUAUGAAAUAUUUUAUACGCAUCGCUUUUGGAUUACAAAGCAUUACAAGGACGAAUUAUAAAGCAUUUUAAUUCUCAUGGUUUUUUUUUUUUUAAAGAGUGAUUUUGGGUUCAACUUUAAGAAAUUGUCUGCCACUUGUUCAUUGUUACAAAACAGGGUCGGAAGAGAAGCAGCUUCAACAUCAUCCACUUGUUCAGUCAACCAAUAAUUAGCUGCUGUUUUCAUUAACCAAUUUACAUUUGAGAAACAACAAAAACAAUGGCAAAAGCACUUCUUUCCAUGAUCCUGGAGCAGCAGUUGGGUGGUUCGUUCAUUCCUCAAGAGAUAAAGCAUCAUGUCGGAUUGGCUGUAGGUCUUGAAGAAGAAAUCCAAAAACUCACCAGCAACUUUGACGCCAUUCAAGCUGUGCUUGAAGAUGCGAAAGGAUAAACCAAACAGGGCAUGCCUAACCCAAGGCGCGGAGGAUAAGGUAUACCGAUGUGGAUGCGGCCCAUAUCCUAAGCUGUUUCCCCACAGACCCCCCAACAGUGUCCCAUAACUCUAAUCCUACAUCCACCACGGAAGAAUAACAAGACUCCCAAGGAGCGGAGGACGGCAAUGGAGGCAGCUGGCUCCGAUUCCGAUGGCAGAGAAUUCAGGAACCCACAGGAAAUGUGGAGGGAGCAAAUUGGAGAUGCAGAUGAAGGAGAUAACCAUAAGAAGACUCAGUGGUACAGUGAAGGCGUUGCCUACUGGGAAGUAAGUCUUUCUUAACUCUGGUUCUUACAUUUGUAUGUGGGUACCAUUAGCUAACUCAUAGUAUAGUUAUUGGAUUCUUUGGUUGUGCUAAGAGAAGGGUGUGGAGGCAUCGGUAGAUGGGGUGUUGGGUGGAUUUGGGCAAGUAAAUGAGGCAGAUAUUAAGGGUAGUGAGGUUUUUCUCAAUACCCUUUUGCAUGAAAGAUUCGAUGGCGGUGGAAGAAAUCACCAUCUUGUUGCUCUUGGUACUUCUCUUUCACUCUCUGUGUCCUCAACUUUAUAUUGUUUUUAUGAAGUUAUAUACCCAUAUAUGUUCUGUUGAGGUAGUUUGGUUUAUGUUAUUAUUAUUAUUUUUUUUACACUAAAAAUCAACCUUAGGUUAUUAUGCGCCAUUAAAUGUGGAAGUGCAAAGUUGGUGAUGGGAUCCUACUUCAUUAGAAUGUAGCAUUGGUGGAAAACCUAAUUAACUAUAAAUUAAACAAAAAACAUAGUGGUGACAGCAGAAAGGGAUGUUGUGAUAGAUGAAAUUUUGAGUUAAAUAUCCGCAAUUAGUGCUUGAAACCGGAAACCAAUAUAACUUGAUAACACAACCAUGAAAAGUUUAUGUCCCAUAAUCCCACCCCAUAAAAGAAAAUAAAUAAAUAAAGAAGAGAAAGGCAUGGAAAUUUGCAUGAAUAUGCAUUUUCUGAAUUAUUUUGCAUGAUAUCUUCACCAAAAAUCAGUCUUAGUAGUGCAAGAAGCAUGUCAUGCAUUAGAGGUGUUGCUUUGAUUUAGAAUGCCAGCGUUUUAGGUGUUGCUCUUAUUUAGAAUGGUAUAAUGCAAUUGAGAAUUGGGUUUACUACAUGCUAUUUUGCUUAAUAAAAAACCAUCUUUAAGCAAUAUUCUUUUUUAAAUUUGGGAAGAAGCUUGCUGGGAGUUCUCUCUGUCUCUUAAGGGUUGUGUGCUUGUGGGGGGUGGGGGAUGGGGCACCCCUGGACCCAAUUUGAGGCUGUUGUGAGUGCUCAGAAUAAAGGAAAGAAAUUUCUGUGUUUAAGAUUGAAAAAUUACUUUCACAUUUCAUCAGCAGCGAAGAUGCUCUAUCUUGCUAAUAUUCUGGAACUUGUUAUCUUUUGAAAGGCAAAAAUUAGAUAUGUCUUCAGUAUGUUUUAUUACUAGGAGAUUGAUUCUUCGACAUGAUUAGGAUCUAUAAUUGCCUAUAUAUGAAGUUGGUCUUAAUACUUGUGAGUUGGUGGACUAUACUGGGGCAAUUGGUGGACUAUACUGGGGCAAUUGACUGAAAUCUUGCGAAGGGGAAUUGUAGGGGAAAUUAUUUAGGAAACUAAGCAGUUGGAGUUUGGCUUUAAUAUAAAGAUAUUUAGGUAACUAAGCAGUAAUGGUUUGGCUUUAAUAUGAAGAUAAUUAAGUGAUUUCCACAAGUUUUAUUUUAAGUAUUAUGAUAUAAGAUGCACUUAAGCACUUGGCUUUAUGAUUUGUGCAUGUAUCCCCUGCUAAAAGAGCUGGGUUUAAAUUACCCUCCCCUAAUAAAAUAAAAUAAAACAUGAAAAUUGAUGGUUGUGCCCUCAAACUUUUGCCUUCAUAUGGUUUAUGUUGGUGGAAUUAAAACAAACUCUUUUGAUGAUCUUAGUGCAGAAGAAUCUGGUACAUUUUAGGGCUUAGCAUACUAAAUUAAACUAUGUCAUAAUUCUCAAAACACUGCAAUGCUGACCUUUAUUUCAAGUCCAUACAUUGAAGCACUAGAAAUACCUGCAAAUGGUUCUAAAGCAUACUUAAAAUAUUGCUGCAGUACUGAUCUGUUUGGUAUUUCAUUUUUCUUGAUGUUUUUAAUUCUAAUUGAAAAUCAUAAAUCUAGUUGACAUUCUGAGCUCUUAGUUUCUAUGUUAAUUUAACAUACUGCAGAUUGUGGUUCUGGCAUAGGGAGAAUAACCAAGAAUCUUCUCAUAAGAUAUUUUAACGAGGUAAGGUCAUUUUUCUCUUUCUAUUAGCAUAUUUUUAAUAUUUCUGACAUUUACCAUCUUUGCAGUUAAUUGAUAACAUGGUUCAUAGUGCAUAAUUCUUACUACCUAAAGAAUUUCUCUGUUGUAUUUGAAUGAAAAGCAAAAUUGGGUAGUGCCUUUUAAAAAAUUCAUGCAGGACAUGAGGAGGGUACCCGUUAAUUUCAAGGUACCUAAACCUUAACCCUAUAAAAAAUCAAAUAUCUAAACUCUAUUAAUUACCUGAAUAAUUUUGAAAGUUACUACCCUAACCUUAACCUUAACCUUAAUACAUUCCCACUACCCUAUAAUUACCCUAACUCGUUUAAAAACCCGAUUAGAUAAAAAAUUUAUUAAAAUGUUCUUCAUUGGUACCCAAUUACUCAAACCCGAACCUGUAUUCAUAUACAAUAAUAUUUCUUCUACAUAGUACAUAUAAUUAACUACUAAUUAAAUUAAUAAAAACACAAAUAAUAAAAUUUAAAUUUAAAUAAUCAAAAACUAUAAAUUGUUUAUAAAUGAACAUAAUAUAUAAUAUAAAUCAAUAUUAUGUUAUUGUUUAAUAGUUAUUAACUUAUAUAAUAGUAAUGAUAUUCUUUAUAAAUGAAUAUAAUAAAUAAUAUAAAGUAUAUGUAUUAAAAGAUAUUACAAGUUAUAUACUAUAAAGUGUGUAUAUAUAUAUUAUAAUUAAUAAUUUUAUAAGUUAUAAUUUUUAUAAUGUUAACAAAAUAUAAAAAGUAAAUACAUUUAUUUUUAAAGUAUAUAUAUAUAUAUAUUAAAAGUAUUUUAGUGUAUAUAUAUAAUAGUGAUUAUAUUCUUUAUAAAUGAAUUCAAUAUAUAUAAAGUAUAGAUAUUAAAGACAUUACAAGUUAAUUAAUAAUCAUAGUUUCAUUAAUUAAUUUAAUUAAUUAUAUGAGUUUGUCCUUUACUACAAGAAAUUAAAAAAAAUAGUUAAGUUUCAAAACUAUUCUAAUCUCACAACUUCUUUUUAGAUAAUUAAGUUUAUAUAUAUCAAAGUAUCUAUAUUAUAAUUAAUAAUUUGUAAGUUAUAAUUUUUGUAAUGUUAACACAAAAUAGAAAGUAAAUAUGGUUAUAUUUAAAGUGUGUAUAUAUAUACACACACACACUAAAAGUGUUUUAUUAUAUGUAUAAUAAUAAUUAUAUUUUUUAUAAAUGAAUCCAAUAUAUAUAAAGUAAAUAUAUUAAAAGAAAUUACAAGGUAAUUAAUAAUCAUAGUUUUAUGAAUUAAUUUAAUUAAUUAUAUGAGUUUAUCCUUAAUUAUAUGAAAUUAAAAAAAAUAACUAGGUUUCAAAACUAUUCUAAUCUCACAACUUCUCUUAAGCUUUGCAUAUUAUAAGUUUAUAUAAACAAAAGUGUAUAUAUUAUAAUUAAUAAUUUUAUAUGUUAUAAUUUUUUUUAAUUUUAAUACAAAAUAGAAAGUAAAUAUAUUUAUAUUUAAAGUAUAUAUAUACUAAAAGUAUUAGUAUAUAUAUAAUACAGUAAUUAUAUUUCUUAUAAAUGAACUCAAUAUAUAUAAUGUAUAUAUUAAAAAACAUUUCAAGUUAAUUAAUAAUUAUAGUUUAAUAAAUUAAUUUAAUUAACUAUAUAGUUUUGUCUUUAAUUAUAUGAAAUUAAAAAAAAUAGUUAGAUUCCAAAACUAUUCUAAUCUCAAAGACUCUCUUUAAGUAUAUAUAUUAUGAGUUAUAAUUUUUGUAAUAUUAAUACAAAGUAAAAAGUAACUAUAUUUAUAUUAGAAGUAUAUAUAUAAUAGUAAUUAUAUUCUUUUGUAAUAUGAUAUGAUAUUCAUAUUAUUUAAACAUAAUUAAUAAUCUAAUAAUUUUUUAAUUGAAAUAUUUUAAUGUAAUCACAUUAAUAAUUUGAGUAACCAGACUUUUUAAUAUAUUUGUCAGCUUUUAAUAAAUAUAUUAAUGUUGAUUAUUUUUAAUUUAAUCAUUUAAAUAACAACAAAAUAUAUAUAAACAGGUAUUGGGAUCGAGUUCGAGGUGGGUACCCGUGUAACUUGAAUAGUAACAUAAUCGGGUUCAGGUAGCGGGUACCCAAGAGGUACUACCCCGAACCUGAUAUGGGUAGUGAAAUCACUAUCCGAACCCGUCCUAAACUUGAUUAUAGGGUAUCUUAAUCCGAUAUAACCNUAUAUAACAGUAAUUAUAUUUCUUAUAAAUGAACUCAAUAUAUAUAAUGUAUAAAUAUUUAAAAACAUUCCAAGUUAAUUAAUAAUUAUAGUUUUAUGAAUUAAUUUAAUUAACAAUAUUGGUUUGUUUUUAAUUAUAUGAAAUUAAAAAAAAUAAGUUGACAAACUACUUUAAUCUCACAAUCUCCUUUUAGGUAUAUAUAUUAUUAUGAGGUUAUAAUUUUUGUAAUGUUAACAUAAAAUUGAAAGUAAAUAUGUUUAUAUUUGAAGUAUAUAUAUAAUAGUAAUUAUAUUCUUUUUAAUAUGAUAUGAUAUUCAUAUUGUUUAAACAUAAUUAAUAAUCUAAUAAUUUUUAAUUUAAAUAUAUUAAUAACAUCACAUUAAUAAUUUGACUAACCAUAUUUUUAAUAUAUUUGUCAGCUUUUAAUAAAUAUAUUAAUGUUGAUUUUUUUAAUUUAAUCAUUUAAAUAACAACAAAAUAUAUAUAAACAGGUAUUGGGAUCGAGUUCGAGGUGGGUACCCGUGUAACUUGAAUAGUAACAUAAUCGGGUUCAGGUAGCGGGUACCCAAGAGGUACUACCCCGAACCUGAUAUGGGUAGUGAAAUCACUAUCCGAACCCGUCCUAAACUUGAUUAUAGGGUAUCUUAAUCCGAUAUAACCGGGUUGGAUACCUGUGGGUAUCUUAUAAUAGGGUAUGCAUUGCCAUCCCUACACAUUAAUAUGUAAUUCCAAUACAGUGAACAUGAUGUGGAACAUGGUGGACUUUUUCUUUUUCCUCUCUUUUUCUUUCAUCGAAUGAUAUGAAUCAGUGACAUAGUAUUAGUUGGAGCUACUAUCUUAAUAAAGCUGCAUAGUACUUUGUGAUAGCUAUGCUUUUGGACCCCUCUUCCCUUUACCAUUCUCCAGGUUGAUCUACUUGAGCCAGUUUCGCAUUUCUUAGAUGCUGCCCGUGAAAGUUUGUCUCAGGAAUAUUUUGUAGCCUCUGAUGCGCACAAAGCAAAUAAUUCUACUGUGUCUCCCUUCAGGUCAUGUACUUCAAGACUACAUUCACACAUGGAUACAUGCUUCUUGAUGUCUUGAAGUAUUCAUAACUAUGGUUAAGUCCAUGUAAGCUAUGUAUUUCCAACUUUUCACGUUUCCCUAUAUUGCGGAUGUAGCCAUGUAAUUUGCACCUCAAGCAGGCAUGUUGUUUGAGUACAAUCCUGGGAAAAACUUACAGAAGUUAAGGUAAACAUGUUAAAUAUGGGUUUGCAUCUGGAACUCACAUUUGAAUCUGGGCAACAUAGUCUGUACUCUGUAGGCGGCUGGAUUCAAGUAAAUUUUUGCAAACAAUUAUUUACUCUUUUGUGUGUGUUGGGGUGGGGGGGGUAGGGGACAGCAUAUGGGCUAGUGAAUGAGCCCUUUAAGUUGGUGAUAUAUGUGCUUGUCUUCUUCUGAUGCUUCUGGCUGUUAAAUUUUACUUUAUAAAACAGAAAUUUGACGACCAUUUUUUUUUUGUCUUUUGCUUUUUCAGGAGUUCACCCCUGAUGCUGGAAGGUACAAUGUUAUUUGGAUUCAGUGGUGCAUUGGUCAUCUCACAGAUGAUGACUUUGUCUCAUUUUUUAAGAGAGCAAAGGUGAAUAAAUCUUCUUCUUGAGACAGAACUUACUUUUUAUUUGACAUGUUGUGCUGUGUGGAAGUGCAUGGAAAGAUCAAAAUUAUGUGUUGAAAUUUUCUUGCCUGCUGUCUACUAUACAUUCGAAGUGCCUUGUUCUGAUUUUUGAAUUAUGAACUGUCAGAUCAUUGCAAUGGUAUCUCAAAUUUUCCUUUUCCAAAUUUAUUGCUUCUAGCUUUCUCUCUUGUAACUUCUUUUAAACCUUCUCACAGCUAUAGGAAUUAAGGUUGUCUAGCGAACAUAACAUAGCAAACACCGGAAGGAUGAUAUCGUCAAACUCUUUUUUCUUUUUGUCCUUUCUUUUUGCAAUGUGUCGUGUUGUUCAUUCUAUUCUUCUUCCUGCUAGGUAACUAGCGGAUUUGAUGGGUUAGUUUGGAGUGUUUGGGCCCAUCCCUAGCACCACAGAAACAAGGCUGGAUAAUACUUUAUAAUUCAUACAGCUAUUUUGCUAUCAUCCGUUUUCUCACCUUACCAAAGCUUGUGACCAAAAUUUUGUUGUGCCUUGUGCAUUGAAAUAAGUUUUAAGAAAUGAUGGUAGUUUGACUUUUGUCCUUUAAGUUUGUAAAUGGUGGGAAAUAAAAUUAAAUCCAGAAAGUGCCAUAUUCAUUUCAUGCCACCUUGAGUCCCUACUCUCCUGCUUCCCUUGCUGCAACCUUUUCUUUUUUUCCAGGUACUGUUGAGCAUAACUUUUUGCUCUGCCUUCAAUGUAUUUUCAUCAAAAUUAAGCAAAACAUAUUAAUAAUAAAAAGCUCCAACAUGGAAAUUCUUGGGCAUGUGUAUGUGUAUGUAAUUUGGAGGCCUGAUCUCUAAGUUGUGUCCUGGAAAGACCCUUGUUGAAAUUUAUUAUUCUUGCAUAUAUGAUUUAAAAGAUUUUAAUUUGUUCAAGUUUUGUUUAAGGCAUUCCUCAAACUUUCUUAUGUUUUGGUAUUCUGUGGUAAAUUUUCAUAAAGUUGUGUUUUUCUUUUUUGAAAUGCCGCAUGUCAUCUCACGUAUGAGAAGACAUAAAGUUGCUUUUUUGAGCUGAUAUUACUUUUUAACUUUGUCUUAUUAUGUAAUUAUCUGCCCUCUACAACUUUGAAGUAACAUCAUAAUUAAUAAUAAUUAAAAGAUAAAUGGAUAAAGGAAUUUUUAAGCUCCAUUUUCUCGUUCCAUUGCUUGAUACCAAGGGAAGCAGCAAGUUUUUGUUUUAUGCAUUCCUGAAACUUUCUUAUUUUUUGGUAUCCUGCUGCAAAAUUUUCAUAAAGUUGCUUUCUAGAGCUGAUAUUACUGUUUAACUUUGUUUUAUUAUGUAUUCAUCUGCCCGCUACUGCUUUGAAGUAUACUAGUUAAUGUCUUAAAUGUUUAAUUAAGGAUAAAUGGGUAAAGGAAUAUUUAAUCUCCAUUGUCUUGUUUCAUUGCUUGAUACCAAGGGAAACAGCCAAAAAGUGUUGAAACUUAUAAUUCGCAGGUUCAGGGAUGAGUUUCAUCUACUCAAAUGGGUAUGGGGUAUAAUUUUAUUAUGCUACCAAUUUGGGACACCUUUUGGUAACACUGUCUAUGUACAACUUUCUUCAGUGAAAAUUCAUGAAGGAAAGUUGACCUAGUGAUGUAGUGCGGAUGUAGAAACAAUAACAAGAAGUCAACUGCUCAUUAGUCUCUUUCAAACCAACCCUAGGGAAAGGUCGUUGAAAGCUGACGUGUACUCCUCAAUGGACAUACUAUUUUGCUUGAGUGAAUGAAAUUUCUCAUUCAACUCCAUUUAAUCAGCAGGCAAAAAUUGCCUUCUCAUCUUCAUUUUCAUGUGUUCCCAAGUGUUGAUUUUUGGCUUGCCUUGAUGUGCUUGCCGCUCUUCAACUCUCUUCUACCAUUGAAGUGCAGCCCCUUCAACUUAAGCUUCACAAACAGCACCUUUCUUUGUUCUGCCAUUGGUUUCUACUAAAAAUAAUUUUCGAAACUAUCUUUCUGAUCUGAAUAAUCUUUUGCAUGCUUCAUUUUCCGGAAGUCAUCUACCUUAAUUCUAACUCCACCACCAUUCAAGUCUAGGCAUGUAACAAUCAGCCUUCCAAUCUACCACAAACAGCAUUAUUUGCUGGUCGAGCAUUAUGAAAGGGGUUUUCAUCCUCUCCAUAUUCAAUUUCAUCCACAAGACCACCUACCGGUAAACCGAAAGGGUCUGUAUUGCCUUGUGGAUUCUCCAUACAGGCUCCCAUUGGUUCCUGUCACUUUAAAUCUUGCACAGCCUGCAACAAAUCUUCAAUCAUACCCUUCAACUCAGCCAGUUCUGUUUGCUGGUCUUGAUUUCUUUUCCACAUCCGCUAACAAGUCCUCUACCACGAUUAGCCAUGGUUUAUAAGCUAAAAUCCUAGUUCAACUUUAAGAUCUCUUCAUCUGAUACCACUUUGAUGUAGUAUGGAAGUAGAAACAGCAAAAACAAAAGAAAAACAAUGACGAAAACCAGAACAAAGGCUAAAAUUGAUCUUAAGAUCAAAGUAGGAACAAGUUACAGCAGCUUUUAAUUGUAGCCCUUCGAUACAAACAACCCCAUCUAAUCUUAGCCAUUCAAACUAAUUAAAAAUGAUCACAUGCUAAUCACGACACAUGACUAGAUAGAAAACAUAAUUACUAACUUUUAACUAAAGUAAAACAUAAUAAGAUAACCAAUUGGAGAUAAAUUUAAGAAUGCUCUUGCAUAGCCUAGCCCAACAAUUAAACUUGCCUAAGGCUUGACUUAACCUAGUACUCAAGUCUCAUAAUUUGCUUGCAUUCAACUCACAAAAUACUUGGAUUCGAUCAGUUUAUUGUUGAGUUAUUCUUGAGCUCUAGUGACCAAUGGAGUCUAGUUCAAGUGUUUAUAUUACUCAGUCAAGAUAGUUCAAGAGUGUAAUCAACUUUUAAUUUUUUGAUAUAUUUUAAAAUUUCAUGUAUGUAAUACUCGUAUAAAACUAAAUAAUACAAAGCUCAAUCAAGCCAGCUUGGAGGUCUCAGACAUAUGUACCCUCCCAAAAAAUGUUCAAGUUGAGCUUCAGGUCUUAGUUUUGUAAUUGAGUCGUGUCAUGUUCAAGCUUGUCAUUUUGUCAACUUGAUUUGGGUCAGUUAUGCAUCUAGACUUUAACCAACUCAAACUGACUAAAAAGGUUACUGAAUCAAUAGUUGAGACAGGGAGAAUUCAAAAACAAAGUAAUCUGGAAUUCUAAAUAUCCAAACUUAACAACCUAAACACCUUUAAAUGACAAGUGGGCAGUUAUACCCCUUUUGCAGUAAAUGCAUAAUUUCACUUGACUUGUCUUGCAUGUGGGGAACUUGUCAGUGGAGUUGUUCAGUGGCAACAUGAGUUUCACUGAGCUAUCACUUGUUUGCAGGAUUUGUUUUGGAUAAAGAAGACCGAAGCAUCACCAGAUCUGAUUUAUACUUCAAGGACCUAUUUCGUCGGUGUGGAUUGCACCUGUAUAAAAUAAAGGUUAUGGCGGUAAAGGGGUCAACUUGACGUAGUUACGCAACUUGGACUUACACCAUAAAAUUCAACCAAAUUCCAACAAAGAUUAGUUGCCAACCCAUCUAGUUGUGUCUGUUACACAUAACCUUUGACUUGCAACAUAACAAUCCCAAGAUGACACAUCUAAAACUGAUAAGUUUAUAUAGAUCAUGCACUAAUAGCCUCAUAUGUUGCCAUUGUCUUAACAACUAAGUCUCUAAGCAAACAUUCAAAAAUUUAGAUCUUGAAACGUUAAAUUACAAGGUCUAGCUAAAAAUCCAAUGAUAGGUGCGGGCUUUAGACGAUGAGAGAGGGCUUCUCCUAUUGUGAAGCCCUCGUUCCAUUGACUUUCAGAUGUGCCCCAAGAACAUAACUUCAGUGAGAGGCGGUGAGUGAUCUAUAUUGUUUGAUAAGUUUUAGAUAUCAUAUCAUCUUUUGUAUCCUUUUAUUCUUAUUUGAUGUUGCUGAGUUGAAUCGAUAAGGGUGUGAUUUCUAGUUGCAUGUUCGAAGUUCCCAUUAGAAAUGGGGGCAGGUUUGGUUUGCAAUCCCCCCACUUCAGUUUAGGGUUUUCAACUAUCAUAAUGUAUCCUUCCUUUUGUUAUUGAUUUGUUUAUUGUUUUGAAAACAGGACCAGAAAGGACUCCCUGAGGAAUUGUUUGCUGUAAAGACGUAUGCUUUAACAACUGAAGGGCCAAAGAAGGUUCUUAAGACAAGAUCCAAGGCGCAAGCCAACAGACCUGGCAUCAUCAAAUGAUUUGUUGCCUCUAACUUCUUGCAUUGUUGUAGGAGCACUCAAACUUUCUGGUGCUUCCUAUGUAAUUUAUUAGUGUAUUACCUCAAAUUGUUUACUUUAUAAGCUCUCUGUGGACAAAUUUUGUCCUUUUUCGUUUGAAGCUGUAUAUAUAUCUCUGAUAUACCUUUGAGUUGAAUUUAUAAACAUAUAUACUUAAUUUUUUAAUUAUUGCUUUCAUAUUUUAAUUUUAUCUUAAAUUUUUAUUUUUUUUACUUUUCAAACAAAAAUAAAGAGUAAAUUUUAGUAUUCCUUUUUACCAAUUCUGUAAUCCUUAGCCUAAUAAUAUUUUACACGUAUAUUUUUGUUCCUAUUCGCAAGACCGGCCCUCUCUCAUAUUUUUGUGUUAUGUUCCAAACGGUGCCGUUUGGCACCUUGUUCCUUACAACCCUAACUAUAAAUUCAUUCUUUUCUCUCUUACUUCGCUUCAUUUUUCCCCUUCUCUCUGAACCGUCGGUGGCUCCCUCUCACAUCUCUCUAAACCAUCAGUUCAUUUCCUCCUCUCUUUCUCUUUCGGCUGGAUGUAAUGAGAAUCUCCCAACCCCAGAAAAAGGAAAUCAACUUUCUCUCCCUCACACUGCCAGAACCUUCCUUUCACCCUCACAAAUCAUUCCCCAACCGAACCCAUUUCCCAGAUCUCUUUCUUUGUAAGCAUUGGAUUUUUGUUUUGGUGCUUUUUUGCCUUUUGGUUGUGGUAUCCGGUUGCUAGAUUAAAAAGUUAGAAAUUUUUUUGCUCUCUUCUGGAGAUUUUUGUUGAAAAAGCCCCUCCUUUUGUGAAGAUUUCUCUUUUUAUAUAUAGAGGCCGAAAAUUCUCUCCUUAGUAUUCGGUCGGCCAUUGAUUCUCUCCUUAUCAGGGUUAUCCUAAUUUUCAUUGAAUAAAAAUGAAAAGGAAAGAUAGACUUCUAAGAUAAUAAAAACAAAAAUAAAAUAAUAAUAAAAGUGCAUAAAAAAAUAGUAUCUACAACUUGAGGGAAUCUAUGUUUAGUUCUCAUAUGUAGGUUUAAAUUUUUUUUUCUUUGUUUGAGAUGGAUAUCAAACCCUUUCUUCAUGAACACCACUUGCUCUAUGAUGACUAUGAUGGAUCAGAGGCACUUUGUAAUAUAUGCAAUCAGAAAAUUCGUGGUAUGGCUUAUUGUUGUGAAAGAUGCAAAUUCUCAUUGCAUGAUUCUUGUGCUCAUCAACAGCUACCUCCUCAGAUAAGCGAUCCUUGCCAUCUCCAACACAACCUUACUCUCGAAAGGUCAAAUUACAUAGAUUACAUAUGUGCUAAAUGUUUCAAUCUUUCUCGAGGCCAUAGAUAUCAUUGCAAAGAGUGUGAUUUUAGCCUUGGGUAUCAAUGUGCUUUUUCAACUAAUGAUGAGAAAAAUAAACUCAAUGAUGAGACAUCUAAAAAAAUUGGUGAUUUUAUCGUCUUUAAUUAUAGGAGAGUGAGAAAGUAUGAGUAUAUAUGUAGUUGGUGUGAGAACCAUUUGUCCGGAAUGUCUUAUGCUUGUCUUGGCAGUGGUGCUUAUUUCUGGUUCCAUGAUUCCUGCCUAAUCAACAUGCCUAGCAUAAUCUUCAAACACCCAUUUCAUCCAUCACACCCUCUUUCAUUAUGCAACAGUCACUUUGAUUAUCGGUUGUGCAAUGCUUGCAACUUACCAGUAUGGGAGUUUAUAAAAGCCUAUCGUUGUAGAAAAUGUGAAUUCUACCUUCAUGUUCAUUGUGCUAAACUACGACCCAGUCUUAAGGUUGAGUUACAUGAGCAUGAUCUUACUUUUUUUCGAAUAAAAGUUAAUAUCGCUUCCCACCGAUGCAGGAUAUGCGGUUUUGAUUUUGAUGCUUCAGGGGAUGAAAGUGCUUUUUAUCGUUGUGUCCAUUGUAAUUUCAAUUACCAUUUCGAAUGUCUUACAAUACCACAUUCUACUUCACACAAGUAUCAUAGGCAUGAUCUCAUGCUUAUGGAUUCAUUUAUAGAAGAUGUUUCUGAAGAAUAUAAUUGUGAUAUAUGUGAAGAAGAAAGAAAACCCAAACAUAGUGUUUUUUGUUGCAAGAAAUGCAAAUUUGUUGCUCACAUCGAAUGUGCACUCAAUAAGGUAAGGGGACAUUUACUCUCUCUCUCUAGAGAAAUUUAAUAAAUAUUUUUUUAUUAGAUAAACUAUUAAUUAUUUGAUCAUAGGUCACAUGUAAUGUGCCCCUUAGAAAAAUUUUGAUGCUAAUGUUUUCACUUCCUCAGGUUGUAGAUACGAAACUUGAUCAAAGUUUGACCUUUAGUUUGUUGGAUAACAAAGCUUCAACAUCGAAGGUAAUGGAAUUGGGUCUUCUAUAUUGAUAUUAUUGUGAUGUUUUCACUUGCCAAUAAUGUUUUUUUUUUUAAGUUUACAUCACUUGAGGUCUUCUAUGAUUCUUUGGAUUUAUAUAUUAUAAAGAUUUUGUAGUAAUAAACACUAUUUAUGUUUUUGAAUAAAAUUCAAUAAAAAAAAUAAAAAAUGUAAAUAAUAUAGGUAAGAAACCUCUACUUAUAUAACAGUAUUCAAAAUUAAUUUGGAGAUGGCUUUAGUAAAAAUAUUGAAUGCUGAAUAAAAUAAAAACACAUACUAGCAUCAUGUUAAUUUCUGAAUAUAUAUAUUUGAUUAUUUAAUUAUUGCUUCCAUAGUUUAGUUUUAUCUUAAAUUUUCAUUUCAUUUACUUUUUAAACACAAUUAACAAGUAAAUUUUACUAUUAAUUUUGACCUAUUUGUAAUUUUUUGGUUUUCAUUCACCAUUUUGAAUUUGUUUCAAAACCAUCUGUAUAUUAACAUGUCAAUAAAAUAUAAAUGAAAUUUGUCACGUAAAUUCCACAUAUUAUGUGAAUUAUGUGAAUGUAGUCACAUGGACAUAACUGUAGUGCUUAGAUGGCAAAUCCGUUUCAUAUUUAAUAGUGUAUUGAUGGAUAGAUGAAUUUAAAAUAAAUUUAAAAAAACGUAGAUGGAAAAAAUCGAGUUUGUUUAGUCAUAAAUGAAAAUAAAAUAUUAUGACAAUGCUACAAACUAAGAAUGCACUUUACUUAAAAAAUGGAUGAAGAUUAAUAACUUUCUUCACUCAACCUGGUUGUGCAGGUGCAAAUUGAACAUUUUGAUCAUCAACAUCCCUUAAGCUAUAAUGAGACAAUUGAACAGAAUGAAAGUCUUCUUUGCAAUGCUUGCCGUCAAGAAAUUUUUUAUCAACACUAUGCUUGUGAAGAUUGUAAAUACUACUUACAUGAAACGUGCACUACAUUGCCGUAUGAAGUGUCACACCCUCUUCAUUGCCAGCAUCUUCUCAAGCUCUUCACGGAUAUAGUUGAAUUUACAUGUCAUGGAUGUAGGGAACAUUCUGGUGGGUUUGCUUACAUGUGCCUUCCUUGUGAUUUCCAACUUGAUGUGAAAUGUGCUACUACUCCAAUCCCACCUCAAAAUGAGAGGCAAAAGCUGAAAGAGAUGGAGAAAGUUUCCAAGUUGUGCCCUUUCAAUCAAAAUCAUAAGCUAGACUUCUUCAACCGUAGACUCAAUUUCAAAGAUUUGGCUUUGGAAUGCGAUGCUUGCAAGCUACCAAUCUUGGGUCCAGGUUAUACUUGUCGUGAUUGUUUCAAUAUCAAAAUUCAUGAAUCUUGUCUUGCACUUAUGCGGGAGAUGCAACACACAUUUCAUCUGUUACACCCGCUUCAUCCACAAAUCGGCGAUUGGGAAAAUUGUUCUGCUUGUAGAUUUAAAAUCAUUGAGAGUAUUGGUUAUAGUUGUCGGCAGUGUGAUUUCCACCUUCAUCUUCAUUGUGCUAAUUCCUUGAAGCUAGCUUUAAAAAUUAAGUCUCACAUGCAUAAUCUUUAUUAUUUUGGACCAGAUUAUGAGAAAUCUUACCAAUUAUGUAACAAAUGCAAAAGUUACAUUGGUAAGGAACCUUUCUAUUAUUGCGUGGAGUGCAAUAUGAAUUUGCACUUAAAAUGUGUUCCCAUACCAUGUUCAAUUAAAUCCAAAUGUCACAUGCAUUGGUUGACUCUUAAAAAUCAUUUUGUGGAAGAUGAUUCUGGAGAAUACUAUUGUGACAUUUGCGAAGAAGAAAGAAAUUCAAAAAAUCAUUGCUAUUAUUGUGAAGAGUGUGCUGGACAAUUUGUUGCUCACAUCGAGUGUGUGUUUCUUAAAGUAAGUUUAUCACUAUCUUUUUUUCUGUAGAUUUUUUUUAUGCCACAUUAUUGAUUUUUUAAAGGAAAAUAAGAAUCUAAAUUGCACAUCACAUGAUCAUAUCCAUCACCUCUUUGAUUUAUUAGACUUUAUUAAUGGUUAAAGUAUCUCAUAGGUCCAUAUACCAUAGAAUUUUUGUUAAUUUAAGUCUUUUACCUAAACUGGUUAAUUGAGUCUCUAUAUUUUGAGAUUUUAUAUAAUUGAGUCAUUUUGCUUAACUGCAUCUAAAUUAACCAUUAGUGGUGUUGGAGUGGCACGAACAUGUUAGAUAAAAAAAAAACAAAUUGGCCACGUGGCAUUUUUUUCUUUUUUCUUUAUUCUUCUCUCAUGUGGCAUUAGUGGUGUUGGAGUGGCAUUUCGAUUAUCCUAGAUCUAAAAUCAUAAACUUGUAAAAAAGAAACUUGUUUCUUUUCACUGCUGUGUCCUUGACUUGAUGUUAAUUGUCAAUGGUUGUGUUUUUCAUGUUGUAGGAUUUUGAAUUUACAAAUGGAAAUUUUCAUGAAAUUUCCAACUUGAAAGAUGUUGAUUCACCUAUUGAGAGUUCCUUUAUGGAUAAGUUGCUUUCCCAACCCCAUGCUGAAGUUUACUUGAACCAAAACAGAAUGGUAGUUAAGUUCUAUAUAAGUUCAUUUUAAAGAUUUCAUCUUUUAUGCGAAUAUGAAUUUUAUUUUAUGAAUAGUUGAAUGGAAGAAAAGUUUCACGAUUUUGUGGAUGCUAUUGUUGUUGCAGAAGUAUUGGGUGGACAAGAAGUUAAACAAAUACUGCUUCAUGUUGUUUGCAAGAAACCUUACAAUCACUUGGUCAGAAGACCACCGUUACUGGCAUUGGUCAUACCAAAGAGAAACAAACAGGUUAGCGUUGAUUUAUUAUCCAUUCAGAAUCCUUACUUCAUAGUUCUAGCUCGAGAGCUUUCCUUAUCCAUAAACUUUUGAUUUUACAGUGAUGUGUUGAUUAAUGUUGUCGAACUUCUAGAUGUGUGUUGGCUAGAAAUGCAUGUGAAAUUCAAUGUAAAAAAGCUCUCACCAAAAACAUUGUAUGGACUUGUGUUCGUGCUUAUGUUGACAAAAGAAGCAUAUGGAUGGGAACAUCUAGUGAACUUCGGAUUCACUCUUCCAAAUGGGUACAAAGUUGAACACAAGGAAUCUUUGAAGUCCAAGCCGAGAGGAGAAUGGAUAGAAAUCAUUGUUGGAGAAUUUACAACUUCAUCUGAAAUUGUCGGAGAAUUAGAUAUUUACUGUCACGAAUAUGAUGUAUUAUUUUGGAAGAGAGGACUUAUUGUUAAAGGAGUUGCUAUUCUACCAAAGAAUUAAGUAAUAAAUUAGUAUUUUUUCACAAUAAAUCUAAAAGUAUCAUAGCUAUUUUAUUUGUUCAUAAUCCUACAGAUUCCAAAAUGACAUGAACUUGAAAGGAACAAACUCAUCCAAUUAUCACCUCAACAACUAAUUUUCUAGUCCUCAUUAUACUAUGUAAGUUCCAUGCUAAAUGCAAUGAACAAGCCCAUUGAUUUUUUUGAUAUGUUUUAUUAGAUUUUUAGACCACCAGUGACUAGUGGCUGGCUAUCAAAAUCUGAGUUUGGGGAUCAGAAUCUGCGAUAGAAGGAUUGGAUAGAGAGCGAGAGAAAGAAGGAAAGAAGGAAAAAUGAAAAAAGAAAAAAUAAAUGUCCUUUAAAUAGAAGGCUUAAAAUGACUAGUUUUGGACAAAUGAGAAAAAAAAUAGAAAAGCCAUGUGAUUAAUUUCUUUUUUAGUCUAACACAUCAACGUUAGGAUUUUUUGGCAUGUUAACGCAACAUUAGCACCAAUAACGGCUAAUUUGAGUGGAGUUAGAUAAAAAGACUUAAUGGUACAAAAUUUGAGUGUACAGAGACUAAAUUAACCAAUUUUGAAUAGAUUGACUAAAUUGACGAAAAAAAUCUUUAAUAUAGGGAUUUAUGAGGUACUUUGACAAAAAAUCUUUAAUAUAGGGAUCUAUGAGGUACUUUGACUAUUAAUAAAUUUCAAUCAACCAAAGAGAUGAUGGAUAUGAUCAUGUAAUGUGUAUGUGUAAUUUAAAUUCUUAUUUUUCCUUUUAAAAAAUUCAAUAAUGUGGUAUAAAAGAAUUCUACAAUGAGAAAAAAUAAUUGUUAGCGUCUCAGCAUUUUCUGAAACCUUUUCAGCACUUCGAAGCCUUGUCCAUUAAUUAAUCAACUUGUUUCAGGCAUGUUCUCAUAGUAACACAAGUCUUUACGUUGUGUAGACCUUUUAUUUCUUUUUGACCUCUUGCAAUCUUGAGCAAGGCUGGUUGUGUAUAUAGUGGAGCAUAGUUGUUUAUCCCCACAUAGUUGUGUAUAUAGGGAGAUGUAUGUCUAAGCUAUAGGGAUGGUUUUUGUUCACUUGCUUUUUCGUAUAUUGAUUUUGCUUAAGGUAUAAAGGUAUAGAAUUUUUAAAAAAAGAUACAAAAUUACAGUAUUAGCAUCUUGAUAGCCAUAUUUGGAAUAAAAAAGUAGCAAUUAAAAGAAGCAUUUUAUCUUUAAUGAUGAGUAAGCUUUCUUUGGCCUUUUUCUUUUUUAUAUUCUUUCAAUAAUUUCCUUCUUUAAAUAGAGAAAAAAAAAACAAUGUUGACAAGGCAUGAAGCACAUGCCAUUUUCUUGUUUUUGGUAAAAGGGCUUGAGGGAAUCUUUAUUUAGGUUUUGUAUUUAAACAGCCUCUCUCAUCAAAAGGCUAGUAGUUGAUCAUCUCUCUCUCUUCAUCUACCUAAAUUUCAUUUUUUUUGUUUGUUUGAGAAAACAAGGUAGAGACUGUUCUGCUAUUAGGAUAUUCUAUACUUGUUUUGGACAGAAAUUUAGUACCUCUUCUAAUCUUCAACUGAAAUACCCCAUACUUUGAUAUGAUGAUCAAUAAAGUUGGCCGGAUGUCAAAAUCAGUCAUGAAGAAGGAUCAUAUGGUUGAUCCAAGUAGGGGAAACGAUGUCAAGCCUAACUCUAUAAAAUACUUGUCAUGACAUACAUGUGGUGGAUAGCAUGGUUGCAUAUUAGGAGAGUCCCAAAAAAUCGAUAAAAGUCGAUAUUGUACCUAUAGGCACAACAAAGUUGAUUUAAGCCUCGAACUAGAUCAAAUAGAGAAUUUAAGAUGAAAUUAAGAAUAUUAAAGUUCCAGAAUGGUUUAAUAUGGUGAUUUGGAGUUCGAAUGUCAAUUUGGAGUCAAACCGAAAUUUUCACUAUCUAGGGGCAAAAUGGUCAUUUGCCACCUGGGGACAAAAUGAGAAUUUUUAGAAAAGAUUUUUUGGCCCCAUAUGACUUAUUGAAGUAUGAUUUGAGGUUAAGAAGUGAAAAAAAUUUAUUCUUGGUAUUUUUUGGAGCAUAGGGGUAAAAUGGUAAUUUUACCACCCUAAGGGCAAAAUAGUAAUUUUCCACUACCAGGACAUUUGUCCAGCACAUGGUCUUCCCUUAUCCUCAUUUUGACCAGUGACUAAUCAUGUGGUGGAGAUAAAAAGGUUUAAAAUUUUUAAAGUUUUAAAAAUGGACCAAUGGAAACAUGCCACGUGUCAAGCAAGAAUACUUUAUUAUUUUUCUUAAAAAUCAGCCCAUAUUUAUCCCAUUUUCUCUUCAUGUGGCCGGCCACAGUAAGAACAAGAGAGGAAAGGAAAAAAAACACAAAACCUAGGUGGAAAAAUUGAAGAAAAAGUGUGGGAUUUCAAAGGAUCAAGCAAUAAAAGGUAAAAUUUCUUGAUUUUGACUUGUGAUCUACCUUUCCCAUGCAUUUCUCCUUAUUUUUCAUGGUUAAAUUUCAUGUUUUCAUGGUGAAUUUAUGGCUGCCCAAAUGGGUACGGAGAGAGAAUGAAGUUAGAUUGAUUUGAUUUUAAGUUAUGUUAGUGUUUUUAGUUAGUUUAGCAUAUUUAGAAACAAAACAACAAGAAAAGAAUUCAUUUUCCCCCAUCACCAUCAUUGGCUGAAUUUUUUAGGGAGGAUAUUGUGGCUGAAAUUGAUGAUAUUUGGGUGAUAUUUGAUGUUUGGUGAGGCUAUAAAUUAAAUGAGAAAUUUUGGUAUGAAAAUCUGAAUUUUUACCUAAUGUAUAGACAUGUGUGAUUAUUGAUCCGGGACUGAUAAAUUGAAUCUCAUUCACAGUCACUGAGGUAAUUUAGGUAUAAUUGGAGCGUAGAAAGUGAGAAGAAUUGAUUUGGAGUUAAAUUGGAGAUUUUAGCCGAUUAGGUCGAGUAUAGUGUGACUUAGGUCGAAUAUCACAUUUAAGUGAUUAAUCAGACAUUUUGCAUCCCAUCUCAUGCGUUCAUUUAGAUUAGAGAGCCUAAAAUAGUUUAUGAUAAAUUGACACAAUUUAUUGAAAUUCAUGCCACGUAUGAUGUAUAGGUGGUGAGCCCUCUAACAAGGGUAAAGAAAUAGUGCCCGAAGACCGAGAAUAGGAAUAUAUCGAACUCCUAGUAUUGUGAGUAACCUUAUCAUCAUUUUUAUUAUCUAAAGUAUGUUUUUAAUCGGUUUUGGUGAAAUUUUAUGAAAAUGAGUUUAAAUGGUAAAUCUUGAGUUUUACAAACAAAAUGUGUCUACACAAAAAGAUUUUAUAAAUUGUUUUAAAAUUGAAUGAUGAUUUUGAAAAAAAGAGUAAUUGGAGGCCACUUGUUAUGAAUUAAAUUUAUGAUUUAAAUCUAAUGGCUUAUGACAGUAUUUGCAUGAAUGAUUGAAUUGGUAUUUGUGUUGAAAUAUAUGAAAUGUGUUUUUAACCUUGAAAGGCUGUGAAUUAUAAUAAUUGCCAUGUCAUGCUAGAAUAAAUUUUAUUGAUUUGUGGAUUAUAUAUUAAUUAAUCACUGCAGUAGGGGGUCUUUGUGGAUCAGCCUUUUAGAAAGACACGGUAAAUCCCAUUAUAUUCUUACUUCGAACGGAGAGGCGCGUAGGGUAUCUCCUGGGGUAAAGCUUAGAGUUCACUUCAAGCCGAACCACCACUUGAAGGGGAACUCAGCCAACGCCAAGGAACGGCUGUGUUUUUUCAAACUAAAAAUAUGUUUUACGUGUAUAUGAAAUUUUUAACAGCCUUGGCGGCUCGAGUGUACGCCUCUGAUCAAGGUGUUAUCGAGUAUAUUUGAUGGCAUGAGCCAAGUGCUUAUGAAAGUCAUAAGCCCUAAUGAGAAAUUAAAUAAAAUACAACCGUUUGCAUGGAUUUGGAUGAAUUUUCAAAUUGCGAAAUACUUAAAAUGAUGGGAUAUUUUAAUUGUCUCUUUUUACUCGAUUUUAGCUGAUUUAAAUGAUGUUUGUUUACUCACUAGGAAUGUAUAAUCUCACCACCCUCAUUUCCACUCAUUUCCACCCAUUUCAGGCUCAGAGUAGGCUGUAGAUAGUUGAUUCCAUUGAGGGCUUCUAUUGGAUUAGCGUCCUCCACACAGUAGGUUCACAGUUUCUUUAAUUCUAGUUAUUAUGGGCUCACUUAAUAUUGUAAAUUUAAUAGUUUAUUGUGCUACAAUAUGAUGAAUUUAUUUUAUUUUUACGUUACAAAAAGUAUUUACGCAUAACUCCAAAAUUUCUGUUUAUAAGAAAAUAAAAUAUUUUAUUGAAUAUUUUGUUUUAUCUUCUUAUUAUAUUCAAAUAAUUAUAAUUUCAUUUUAAAUAAAGGUUUUAGAUGCCUAAACUUAUUUUUAAUUGUGAAUUAUGUGAUUGGUACUUGUUUACUACAUUUUUAACUAGUUUUGAAAUUUUCAGUGGAAAAAUGAACAAAAUGCCCCUAUGAGACAAAAAUUUUUAUUUUAUCAGUUUUAAGUUGCAAAAUAACUCAAAAUCCUUUAGAGCAUAAAAUUUGGCAACGGUUACUCACCGGGGGAAAUGAGAAACUGAUAUUAAGCAUUGCGGGGUUUCGGUUGGCAUUCUGGGAGAUGAGUACCCAUCGGGGCAUCGCGGCGGUUGUCACAGGCUCAAGGGUAGUUCCGGGUCGUGACAUCAACCAUCUUGGUGCUGCAAAAAGGGGGUUGUAGCUAGAAAUUAACAGCAAAAAAGAUGCAAACAAGGCUGUUGAUGUGAAUGAUAUAGCUUGGUUUGGGUUAUACAAGGCACAACAAUCUUUUGAAUGUCAAAUACACUUUCCUAUAUUUAAGCUUAUUCUUCAUAAUGUGUAGGACUGCAGGGCAUUUUAUUCAAUUAUAUUUUGGUUAGAUUGUAGGGAAAAGAAAGCUAGAGAAAAAGACAACAGAGAGAAACAUUUUUUGACAAUGAUUCAAAAUUUAAUUUCAUUAAUAAGUUAAAGAAUUAUAGCAAAUUGUCAAAAAGGUCAAAAAAAAAUUUUUCUGCUUCUUUUAAUCUCUCUUGGCUAGAAGAAAUGUGCAUUCUUGAACUAGUGAUUUGCAAAUAAGUGGCUGCUUUUCUUGUAUACUUUUGAGUUGAAUGACCAUGUACUUAUCCAUUUUGUAUAUUUCAACAAAUUUAUGUUAAUAUUCAAGUUUCUAAUAUUUGAAUGAGUUUAUAUUUGAUGCAUUAACUAUGUAUAUAAGAUACACUGUCAGUGUAUCAAAUAUGAAUCCUAUUUAAAUAGAUUAAGAGUACAUAGUUAAAAAUUGCAGAGGGCUUAAUUUGAGAUAGUAGUUUUUUGUAUGAAAGAAGAAAAAGAAGAUUUUGCUGCUUUUUUUUAUUUGUUUUUGUUAAUUUUAUUGUGUCAGCUUGAUUUUAUGUCAAUAGCCUUAUCAAUUCAUCUUGGUUAGUAAUCAACUGCUUUAAUAACGAUGCUUCCCAACAAAAAGUUUAAAAGGGAAAAUAGGAGAUUCCAAACUUAAAACCUUGAUGUCCUUGAUGCUUUUCUUAUUUCUCUGUCUUUUUCUAUUUAUUGUUUUAGUUACAAAAUUGUAGAAGUAGCAUCUUGAUUGCCACAUUUUUAAUUAAAGAAGUACCAAUUUAAGAAAUAUUUUAUCUUUAAUGAUAAGUGAGUUUUCUUUGACCCUUUUCUUUUUCUUGAAAGAUUGAGAAUAGUCUUCCAUGAAAAAAGAGUAUAUCUUAAUUAAAUUAUUGAAGUCAAGAAACUAAGAUUAGCUUCCAUAUUUUCACAAUUAUUUCCUUAUUUUAAAAAAGUAAAAAAUAAUGUUAUUUUUUAUCACUCACUUGAUUAAUUAAUAUGAAAUUGUCGUUGUAUUAGUAAAAUGAAUUUAACAUUAAUUAAUCACAAUAUACGCAUGAUGUGUUUUCAUCGUGCAAGUAAUUGUUGUAUAACUAAAGCAAAAGGAAAGUAAUUGCUAUAUAACAUUAGUUUACUUAGAGGGCAAUAUUUAAUUAAAAAAAAAUAAUUCCAAACUUAAAACCUUUAUCCUCUUAAAAACCAAUGAAUAGAGUAAAGUUAAUUCUCCGUAAAGUGAUUUGAUUUCAAAAUGCCAAAGGCCCUUGAUGCAUUUCUUUUUUUUCUUUAAACAAAACACUCCCCUUGCUAAAACUAAAGUGAGAAUCAAUUAAGUAUGGUACAAUUUAUAGAUACAUUUAUGUCACUAGAAAUACUUUGUUUCAGAGUUAAUUUUUUUAGAAAUAAUAAAGAUGAAUUAUAUAUUAAAAAAGAGAAGGACAAGAGUAUCUCUUUACAACUUGACAAAAAGGACCCGCGGCUACAUCAAAAAACAACCAAUGGGGCUUGAAAACUUGGGUAGAUUAGUACUUACCAUAAGUCCAGCCAGAGGCGGAGGGAAGGGGGGCUAAGAAGGCCCCGCCCCCAAAAUUUCAAAAAUUUAUAUUUUUUUGUUUUAUUUUAAAAAUUGAUAAUUUUAUCUUUAUUUUUUAAAAAUUUUAUAAUUUUAUCCUUUCAAAUAUUAAAAUUUUUAUUUUCUCAUUCUCAAAUUUAAAAUAUUGACUACGCUACUGAAUCCAGUCAAAUAGUAUUAAAAAGAAAACAUUACAAAAGAUAAAAAAACCCACCCUAUACAUAGUAAAAUGACCUGUACAUAAUCGUUUCCUAAAAGGAGGAUCUAAAACGGUGUUCAGCCAUUAUCCUACAGAAAAAGAGCAGGUAAAAAAAAAACAUCAAUGGUUCUCAUGAAGGUAGCAGUGAGCACUGUGAUGCACAGCAAAAGUAAAUAAAGUAAGGGGACAGAACACCUCACACUAGGUUAAUAUUUCUUUCCAGGGUUGGCAUGGAGUCAUUGAUCCAAAGCAAAUUUGUUGAUCUUGAGACACCUUCUUUGGCCAGCGUGUUAGCUUUUAUAUUAGCAGAUCGAGAACAUCUUCCAAUCUUGCCAAGUGUAUUAAAUGUUUGAAUUAUCAGAGUCCUCAUUCUUCAUGUCUUCCUUAAUAUCAAUCACUUUUACAUAGAAUUUAAUUUUAAUUUUACAUUUGGAUUGUUGUGCUAGGGUAUGGCCGUAAAGGGGUCAACUUGGAUUUACAGCAUAAAACUCAACUAAAUUCCAACAAAGAUUAGUUCCCAACCCAUACAGUAUAUUUGUAUAAGUUACUUGACUAAUUUACAUUGAAGAAGUAAAUUUGCAUAUCAACCACAUCAUAAGCUAAUCAAUCACUGGAAAUAUGAAAUUACCACUAGUGCUUGCUAAAUUUUAUAAACAAAUCAUCUUAAUAAGCAAUAACUAUAUGUGCGAGGGCUAAUUGUUUGAGUUAACAUUCCAUGAAAUUUACCCCAAAAUUUAUGUUAAUAUUCUAGCUUGUGAUUAAGUCAAAUAUUCAAGUUUCCAACAUUUGAAUAGAUUAGGAGUACUUCAUAAAUGAAGGGGUUUAAUUUGAGGUAAUAGCUUCAAGUAUGGAAGAAGAAAAACAAGAUUAUGGUGCUUAUUUUUUUAUCUUUUUUUUUUAUUUUCUUGUCUUGUGUUGAUUUUAUGUCAACACUCUUAUUCGCUAUUUGGUAAUUUUGGACGUGUGUAUUUCUGCAGUAAUGUUUAUGAAAUGGUAUGGAUAGCAUUGAUAGCUGUGGAUCACGAGACAUAUAUACACUUUAGAUAACUAUUUAUUUGAGACGUGCUGAGAGGUGAUUUAAUUAUUUCUGUUAGCUGAGUUGUUUUUUCGGAGGUUCAGCCGACUUCUUAAAGAGUCCAACUGGAGCUAUUUAUCCCCAAAAUGGAGCUUAAUUUGGGCAUGUGGCAUGUGACAUGCGACAUUGCCACAUCUUCUCAAGAAAAGGGCACAGGCAAAACCAGAGGAAAUGCGAUAAGUAAAGGCCAAAUAAAUAAAAAGGCUAAUCAUAAUUUAACCAAAAAAAAAAAGAGAAACAGAAAGAAAGAUGGUGCACAUCUUGUCAUCAUCCAUCGAUUAGACAUCCCAUCCCUCACCAACCCAACGUCCUUGGACAACUUCUUCCACAUAUGUUGUCCAAUAAAAAUCUCUCAAGUGUCUCGCAUUGCUUGAAAUGAAAAAAAAGACUGCCACGUGCUACCUUCUUGGCAAUUGCUACCAGCGUUCUCCUCCUUCCGCUUGGUGUCGCCUGUACAGCCACAACCACCACCACCACCACCAUUUGCAAUUCUCCUGAUUCAGAAUUCUUAUCACAUUACUACUGUUGGAAAAGUGUUUGACAAGCAACCUUCAGCUGGUAAGUUAGCUUCACUUUCACCUUUAUUAUGAAAAAUUUUAUACGCAUCGCUUUUGGAUUACAAAGCAUCCUGGUCAAAUUGUUUCCGUAGUGAGGUAGAAGUUGUCAUUCAAGAAAAAUUACGAGGACGACUUAUAAAGCAUUUUAAUUCUCAUGGUUUUUGUUUUUUAAAAGAAUAAUUUUGGGUUCAACUGUAAGAAAUUAUCUUCCACUUGUUCAUUCUUAAAAAACAGGGUCGGAAGAGAAGCAGCUUCAACCUCUUCCACUUGUUCGGUCAAUCAAUAAUUAACUGCUGUUUUCGUUAAUCAAUUUACAUUUGAGUAACAACAAAAACAAUGGCAAAAGCACUUCUUUCCAUGAUCCUGGAGCAGUUGGGUGGUUCUUUCAUUCCUCAAGAGAUAAAGCACCAUAUCGGAUUGGCUGUAGGUCUUGAAGAAGAAAUCCAAAAACUCACCAGCCACUUUGAGGCCAUUCAAGCUGUGCUUGAAGAUGCGGAAAGAAAACAGGUGAAGUAGGCCAGUGUGAGACAUUGGUUAUCUAAGCUCAAAAAUGUUUCCUAUGAUGUGGAGGAUGUGUUGGAUGAGUGGAACACUGCAAAACUCAAAUCAAAACUUGAGAAAGAAGAGAGAGCAACUGAACAUGCUUCUUUGCCAAGGAAGGUAUGCUACUCUUUCUCCUUCUCUUCCUCUAAAAUCAUACUACAGCACAACAUCGCUCAGAAAAUCAAAGAAUUGAAUGGACAAUUAGACUUUAUUUCUGCUGAGAAAGAUAGGUACAAAUUCGAACUAUGGAGGGGAAUUCAUGAAGAAUCUGAACUACAAAUAACUACCUCUUUCAUAGAUGUUACUGAUGUAUAUGGCAGAGACCAAGAUAAGAAUGCUGUAUUAAACAUGUUGUUGGAAGAGAAUAGUGAAAAAGAUUCCACUCUCCAAAUCAUCACUAUAGUAGGGAUGGGAGGAGUAGGGAAAACUACUCUUGCUCGACUAGCCUACAAUGACAAUAUUGUGGAUACUCAUUUCGAGAAAAAAAUUUGGGUGUGUGUCUCAGAUCCUUUUGAUGGCAUCAAGAUUGCCAAAGCGAUUCUUGAAUCUCUUGGAGAUGCUGUGCCAAACUUUGUUGAAUUACAAACUCUACUACAACGUAUUAGGAAGUCAGUUGUAGGAAAAAGAUUUCUUCUUGUUUUAGAUGAUGUGUGGAAUGAAGAUGACUGGAAGUGGAAACCCUUCAAAGAUUCUCUCAGUUGUGGUUCUUUGGGAAGCAAAAUCUUAAUGACCACGCGUAAGGAGAAUGUUGCGGUUGCAAUGGGUUGCACUACUUUGUUCCCACUAGGGAAGUUGGCCAAAGAAGAAUGUUGGCUGUUGUUUAGUCGGGUAGCCUUUUUUGGAAGGACUAGCAGGGAAUGCCAGAUGUUGGAAGAUUUUGGUAGGAAAAUAGCAGACAAAUGCCAAGGUUUGCCACUUGCUGUGAAGACUCUUGGGGGUCUCAUGCGCUCCAAAAGAACUAUAGAACAAUGGCAAAGUGUUUUGAAUAGCGAAAUAUGGGAGUUGAAGGAGGCUGAAAGAGGUAUUUUCCCUCCCUUAUUGUUGAGUUAUUAUGAUUUGUCCCCAGCUUUAAAACAAUGCUUCUCAUUUUGUGCCAUAUUUCCGAAAGACUGUGAUAGAGAAAGAUAGGCUGAUCAAACUAUGGAUGGCGCAAGGUUUCCUUAAGGAGAAGCAAAUCAAAGAUAUGGAAAUCCUUGGUCAAGAGUAUUUUGAAGACUUAGCAAUGUGCUCUUUUUUUCAAGACUUUGAAAGAGAUGGCGAUGGCAACAUAAAUAAAUGCAAAAUGCAUGAUUUAGUACAUGAUUUGGCCCAGUUUCUGACGAAGGGUGAGUGUUUCAUGGUAGAGGUCUAUGGUGUUGAACAGCCUCAGGUAGAUACUUACAGUGAAAAAGGUCGUCAUUUAAUGUUGGCGCUUGGAGAGAAGGUCAUAUUUCCUACCUACAUUUAUAAUGUUAAGAAAUUGCGUAGCCUCCUAGUUGAACCAAUCAAUUUUUAUGCUUCAAUAAUGAGCGAAUCCUUACCCAAGUUAUGUAAACAGUUGACUUGUCUGAGAACAUUGGACUUGAGUACCAAGUAUCAUACUAUCUUUGGUAGCACAAUUACAGAAAUUCCAAAAGAGAUAGCAAAAUUGAUUCAUUUGAGAUACCUUAACAUAAGUAACAAUGAUGAUUUAGAAGAAUUGCCAGAAGCAUUGUGUGAAUUGCUUAAUUUACAAACCUUAGACCUCAGUUUUUGCAAAAAGCUAAAGAGAUUGCCAAAUGGAAUUGGAAAACUAGUAAACUUGAGGCAUCUUAAGAAUUAUGGUACUUGGAGAGUAAGGUUCAUGCCAAAAGGAAUGGAGAAAUUAACGUCUCUUCGAACACUAAGGGAGUUUCCAUUGAGUGAAGGUGGUACUAGUUGUGAAACAUCUUCGAUUGGGGAACUGGGAAGCUUGACCCACCUUGGAGACUAUCUUGAGAUUAGAGGAUUGGGAAAUGUGAGAGAUGUGAAUAAGGCCAGGAAAGCAAAUCUUCGGAGCAAGGAAUGCCUCUUUAAUCUGUUACUCAAAUUUGAUAUGGAUGAGAACAAGUCAGGAGGGGGGUUGCCAAAUGGUGAUGCACUUGUUCUUGAAGCCUUACAGCCACCUCCUUACUUGGAAUGUUUAGAGAUACAUAACUACAGAGGCUCGAGCACAUUGCCAAAGUGGAUGUUGGCAUUGACCAACUUGAGGCAUCUUGCAGUCUGCUCGUGCAGAAACUGGGAGAGAUUGCCUCCCCUGGGGAAACUUCCAUCACUUGAAUCACUUUGGAUCUAUGACAUAAGGAGAGUAAAGAAAGUGGGAGUUGAAUUUUUAGGAAUAGAAAGAGAUGAGGGGCAAGGAUCUUCAUCCUCAACUGUUAUUCCCUUCCCGAAUCUGAAAAGACUUGAAAUUCAUGACAUGAAUGAGUUGGAAGAGUGGGAAUAUGGGGAGUUUCAUUUCCUUGGCAAGAGAAAAGAGCAAAUUAGUAUAAUGCCAUGUCUCAGUUUCUUAGUGAUUGAUAGAUGCCCGAGGUUAAAGGCACUACCACACCACCUUCAAAAUUCAAGCAUUGAGACAUUGGAGAUAAGAUGGUGUUCUAUUCUGGAAACAGGGUGCAUUAUCUCUCGCAUUCCUAACAUCCGAAUAAACUAUAUGGAGGUGAAAAGAGAUAAAGUUUGAACUCUUCUUGGGUCCAGAAGAUCACAAAUGCAAGCAGAAGCUCAUCAGGUUCUUUUCUUUUUAAAUCUAUUACUACCUUGCCAAUUUGGAAUACAUAAUCUACAUUUUUGUCUGAAUCAUUGCAUGCAUACAUGGUUUAUUGAUGCAAAAUUUAGCUGAAUAUCGAACUGGUUUGCAUAAUUAGCUGAUGCAAUGAGGUUAGAAAGCCCACUAAGGUGAAAAGUGGCCAAACUACCGUAUUGGUUGGCCUAACCAAGAAUAACUAGAACCUCUCCCUCUUUUGAAAAGAGUCUAGAAAGAAUAAGCACUGCUCAUUCAAGAAUAAUAUUCUUUUUUAAUGUUAAAAUUGAGAGAAAGCUCAUACAUUCAUUAAAGUUAAUAAAAUUGAAAUGUUUGCAUGUGCUUGGUAACACUUAAUUUCGAAAGUUUUUGUUGUAUAAUCUGCGGACAAACUAUAUAUGCUUAAUAUUGCAAUUUAUUUCCUAGGAAGUGUAUAAUAUUUGUGAGGUCUACAUUUUUAGAACCUAACAAAAUCCACGCUUUUAGGAGGAAGAAGCUGAACCAGCACUAGAUGCUCUAUCCAAGCUGAGAGAUAAAGGAAUCAAACAAUAGCAGCAGAGUGAUGAAGAAAAUCCAACCAUGAAGGAAUCGACAGAGGAGCAGCAGACUGAUAGAGAAAAUCUAGCCAUGGGGGAAUCAAUAGAGGAGCAGCAGACUGAUGAAGAAAAUCCAUCCAUGGAGGAACCAACAGAGAAGUAGUAGGGGGAAAAAAAUAUUAGUUUUGGCCUUGUCUAUCUUUUUUUUUUUUGAAUAAGUAAGGAUUUUCAUUGGCCUUGCCUAUCUAGUUGAAGCAGGAUUCUCCUUGUACUUGUUGUCUAGCAUAAGCUUUGACUAUCUUUGGGUUGUAUUUCAAUAUUAAUUGCAGGCUUGCUCACAGAAUUUUCAUCACGAGAACAUUUAUAUCAUCAACGUUUCUCAAGACAUUGAUUUAUGGAUCCUCUGCCUUUUCAUGGAGUGACUUUCCUCCCUUCCUCUUCUUUUCUUCCACAGUGCACUGCUUCUUCAUCGAGCAAUCCUUAAGGGAAAAAGGAUAGUGAUGAUAAGCCAUUGCGAUCAAAGACUGUCCCUCAACUCUAUUCAAGUUCAGGCGAUUACAGGUUGAAUUUAUAGGUGUAUGAACAACCCUUAUUCUAGUAGGAUUCGGACUGGUAUUAAUCCCUCUCUAGUAGUGAAAAACAAAUAACUAUCAGGUUAUCUUAAUAAAGACAUAAAUUAUCUAGUUAUCUUAAUAAAGACAAAUAAAAUAUUUGUAUGCAUAUGUCUACAAUUUAAAGUAUUCAAAGGGUAAACAUGAUACAUGGUCACUAAAUUCAAAGGAGGCACGAGUAAUGUUACUAGCUAAGAAAAGUAUUAUAAGGUUGAUUAAAUAAAUAUUGUAUCAUCUUACUCAAAAAUACAAUAACAUCUAAAUUCUUUUUUACUUAUAUUUUAAUACUUACUUCUUUGACCUGAAACAACAUUUUAAACAAACAGAAAAUGGAACACAUGGAAUCUUAAUUAAUUAACAUAGAGCAAAUGGAAAUUAAGAUCACCCCAGAGGAUUCUGCACUGGAUGUGAACUGAAGGGUAUCCUUAGGGUGUGAAGACCUUUCCUUGACACGUUCUUGCAAAAUUAACAAAUCAAUUAAAAGUAUAAAACCUGGUCCUAUCGAGCUUGGUAGUCCUUUUAUUCCAUUCGUACCAAAAUCUUCACCUCCCGCCCAUCCCAAGAGUGGUGGUUCCACUUAGCCAUCUAAAACUCAUUACUCAGUAACAUAUAUGAUUUGAAGAAUGUAGCAGUAUAAUCUGUAUCUGAUAUUUUAACCAGCUUGUUUUUUGUAUCCUGUCCAGACAAUAACUUCAAGUUGCUUAUGUAUGCAGCUUAAAUUGUAAUAUAUUUCUUAGUUAAUAGGAUUAUAUAUUAAGAACUUAAUGUUGUGGCUUAGUAUAUAUUAAUUUAUAAUAUACUUGAAAAGAAUUAAAGAAACCUCAAUUUCACAUAUCAUACUAGUUUGUCAACUCUAUGUAUUUAUAAUAAUCAUGCUUAUAAAAUUCAUAGAUAUAUUAGCGAAUAUAUUUUAAAUAUGCAUUUAAAAUUUGGUAGCACUUCACCACAAAUUUAUUAUACAUGUUAAUUAUAAUGUAUUUCUUAGUCAAUAGGAUUAUAUAUUAAGAAUUUAAUGUUGUGGUUUAGUAUAUAUUGUUGUUGAUACAGAGAAACUAAAGCUAUGCCAAGUGAUUGGAUUAUAGAAUGGCAAGCUUCUAAAUAUUUACACACACAAAAAUAUGAGAUUUUCAAAAUAAAUCAAAAAAAUUUUGCGAGGGAGUCGACAAAUGCAUUUGUCUCUCCAUGAACAAAUUUGACAUCACCAAUGAUACUAUUCUAGCAAUCAAUUUGGUCGGGAAUCCACCAUUUGUUUCAAGACUUUGAGUUAGCAUUUCAAAUUCAAGAUAGCGUCACCUUUGAAUCGAAAUCAAUAACAUGUUUUUUGGUACCAUCAAGGUUUUAUUACAUUUCAAACUCCAAAAUAAUUGGAUUGCUUGUUUGAUUGCAAGCAAUAAUGAAAAAUGACAUAGUCAUUUCCCUGACCAAAUAUAUCAUAAAUUCUUUUAACUUUCAAAAAAAAAAAAUUAUUCAGCUCUACUAGCACUACCUUUGAGACCAAUAGAGAUUAAACAUUAAAUCUUAAUCUUUGAAAUUUCUUAAUAUGUCUUGUUAAUAUGAAUCGGGUCUAAUUUGGAAAAAAUUUCUGUGUUUGAGAUUGAAAAAUUACUUUCACAUCACAUCAGACUAAGGCUGCUUUAUCUUGCUAAUAUUCUGCAACUUGUUAUCCUCAGAAAGGCAAAGGUUAGUUAUGUCUUCAAAAUGUUUAAUCGAAAGGAGAUUGAUUCUUCAUCAUGACUUCAAGGAUAUAUAAUUGCCUAUUUAAGAAGUGGGUUUAAAUACUUGUGAGUUGUUUUGACGAUACAAGGGCAGUUGACUGAAAUCUUGCAAAGGGGACUUUUUGGGGGAAAUUAUUUAGGAAACAGCUAAGCAGUUGGAGUUCAGCUUUAAUAUGAAGAUAUUAAGGUAACUAUGCAGUAGUCAUUUGGCUUUACUAUGGAGAUAAUUAAGUGAUUCCCACUAGUUUUAUUAUAAAUAAUAUGAUAAUAGAUGCACUUAAAUAUUUGAUUCAAUGAUAGGUGCAUGUAUCCCCCACUAAAUAUCCAAAUUGAACAACCUAAACACCUUUAAAUGACAAGUGGGCAGUUAUACCUCUUUUGCAGUAAUUGCAUAAAUUCACUUGAAUUGGCUUGCAUGUGGAGAACUAGUCAGUGGACUUGUUCAGCGAGUUUCACUGAGCUAUCAUUUGUUUGCAGGAUUUGUUGGGAUAAAGAAGACCGAAGCAUCACCAGAUCUAAUUUAUACUUCAAGGACCUAUUUCGUCGGUAUGGAUUGCACUUGUAUAAAAUAAAGGUACCUUCUAUUGCAUAUUGACCACCUAAUAAGUAGUUGAUAAUGCUUUUUUAAACUGAAUAAUCUGUUAGUUUUCUUGUAAAUGCUUUUGACAACUGUUGUUUCAUGAGCCAUAAUUCUAACUAUAUUUUGACACUGAAAGAAUAUACGAUACAAAAAGCUGCGCAGGUCUGCUGUGGUAUCUUAAAUGGUGCUCAAAGUUCUUAAUCAGCCUCAACUUCCAAUUUUUUUUUUUUAAUUCUGAAAAACAAAAACCCCUCACUGGCUAAAAUAAAGUGGGAAUCAAAUCAGUUUGGUACAAUUUGUAGAUAUGAUACAUUUAUGCCACCAAUGAUACUUUGCUACAGAGUUAUCUAUAUCAUAUAUUCUUUUUGUUUUUCUUAUUAUCAAUCAUUUUUACGGAGAAAUUAUGAUCUUGAAGUCAAAACUGGAUGUUGGAAUAAUUAAAGUAAUAAUCAACCUCAAAAUUGUGUGCUGGGUUAUGGCGGUAGAGGGGGUCAACUAGAUGUAAGUGACACCAUUUGGACUUAUACCAUAAAAUGAAACCAAAUUCCAACAAAGAUUAGCUGCCAAUCCAUACGGUUGUGUUUGUUAAACAUAACUUUUGACUUGCAACAUAACAAACCUACGAUGACACAUCUAAAACUGAUAAGUUUAUAUAGAUCAUGCACUAAUAGCCUCAUAUGUUGCAGUGUCUUAAUAACUAAGUCUCUAAGCAAACAUUCAAAAAUUUAGAUCUUUGAACUUUUAAAAUAUAAUGUCUAGCUAAAAACAUUCAAAAAUUUAGAUCUUGAUAGGUGUGGGCUUUAUAGGAUGGGAGGGCUUCUCCUAUUGUGAAGCCCACAUUCCAGAAACUUUCAGAUGUGCCCCAAAAACAUAACACUAGUGAGAGGCGUUGUGUGAUCUAUAUUGUUUGGUAGGUUUUAGAUAUCAUAUCAUCUUUUGUAUCCUUAUAUACUUAUUUGAUGUUGCUGAGUUGAAUCGAUAAGGGUGUGAUUUCUAGUUGCAUGUUCAAAGUUCCCAUUAGAAAUAGGGGCAGGUUUGGUUUGCAAUCCCCCUACUUCAGUUUACGGUUUUCAGCUAUCAUAAUGUAUCCUUUUGUUAUUUAUUUGUUUAUUGUUUUGGAAACAGGACCAGAAAGGACUCCCUGAGGAAUUGUUUGCUGUAAAGAUGUAUGCUUUAACAACUGAAGUGCCAAAGAAGGUUCUUAAGACAAGAUCCAAGGCGCAAGCCAACAGACCUGGCAUCAUCAAAUGAUUUGUUGCCUAUAACUUGUUGCAUUGUUGUAGGAGUACUCAAACUUUCUGGUGUAGGAUGUGAUUGUAUCUUCCUAUGUAAUUUAUUAGCGUAUUACCUCAAACUCGUUUUACUUUACAAGCUCCUUGUGGACAAAUUUUGCUCUUUUUCGUUUGAAGCUGUAUAUUUAUCGCUGGUAUACGUUUGAGUUGAAUGACCAUAUAUUUGUUCACUGUUGAUGGAAAGAAUCUUUACAAGUUGCAAUUAUAAAGUCAUUUGUUCAUGUUAUUUCAUAGCUUGUCUAAGGAAGAAGCAAAUCCUUAUGAAUUUUCCAUUAUAAGAAGAAAGAUGGAAGACCAAAGAGGGCAUGAAUAGAAAUUACAAGAAAUGAUUGUACUUUUAUUGAACUUAUUUGGGAUAAUCAAUCAUAAACAUAUAUAUAUAUAUUAUGAACUUUGAAGCUUUGUCAAUUAAUGAGCUUGUUUGAGGCAUGUUCUCGUAGCAGCACAAGUCUUUUCACAAAUUUUUCUUUUUUGGAACGUAUAUCUUUCUUAAUGAUUAGAGCAAUUGAAACUUCUGUUGAAAAGGGAAGAAAGGGGAUUCGAAACUUGAAAUUUUGAUCUUCUUAAAAUCCAAUAAGUAGAGUAAGGCUUAGUAUCUUUAAAGUGAUUUGCUUUCAAAAUGUCCAAAGUCCUUGAUGCUCUUCUUCUGUAAACAAAACGCCCUCACUUGCUAAAUUAAAGAGGGAAUCAAUUCAGCAUGGUACAAUAAUAAAAAUCAAUGCUGCUCCUACUUGGCCUAGAUGAGGCAUAUACCUUUUUACAGAUUUAGAACAAUUGAAACUUGAGUUUAAAGGUAAAAAAGGGAUUCCAAACUUAAAACUUUUAUCCUCUUAAAAAUCAAUAAGUAGAGUAAUAAGGUUGAUUAUCUAUAAGUGAUUUGAGGUUCUUGGUGUUUUUCUUCUUUUGUAAACAAAACUAAAGUGGGAAUCAAUUAAGUAGGGUACUAUUUAUAGAAAUGGAUACAUUUAUGCCACCAAUGAUACUUUGCUUCAGAGUUAUAUCUAUCAUGUCUUCUUUUUGUUUUUCUUAAUAUCUAUCAUUUUUACAUAGACAUUAAGAGAAUAAAUGUAUACUGGUAUAAUUAAGGUCCUUUGAAAAACAAAUAAAUGGGCAAGUCUGCCAUUGGAAGUAGGCCCAAAAGUCUGCAAAGUCUUGCACAUAAAAAAAUAGUGUCUACAGCCUUUCCCAUCAAGAGGCUGUCAUCUCUCUUUCCAUCUACCAUUCUUUGUUUGAGAUGGCUAUCAAAUCCAUCUUUCAUGAACACCACUUGCUCUAUGAUGACUCCAAUGAAUAUGAAUACGCACUUUGUGAUAUAUGCAGUCAGCAAAUUUGUGGUUUGGUCUAUUCUUGUGAAAGAUGCAAGUUUGCAUUACAUGUUUCUUGCGUUCAUCAACAGCUACCUCCUCAGAUAAGUGCACAUCCUUUCCAUUCCCAACACAAUCUUACUCUCGUAAGGUCAAAUUACAUAGAUUACAUAUGUGCUAAAUGUUUCAAUCUUUCUCGAGGCCAUAGAAACCAUUGCAAAGAUUGUGAUUUUAGCCUUGAGUAUGCAUGUGCUUUUUCAACUAAUGAUGUGAAAAAUAGACUCAAUGAUGAUGGUUUCAACAAGUCCUUCACCCUCUUUAACUAUAGGAAAGUGAGAAAGUAUGAGUAUAUAUGCAGUUGGUGUGAGAACCAUUUGUCUGGAAUGUCCUAUGGUUGUCUUGACAAUGAUGUUUAUAUCUGGUUCCACGAUUCCUGCCUAAUCAACAUGCCUAGCAUAAUCGUCAAACACCCAUCUCAUCCAUCACACCCUCUUCUAUUAUGCAAUAGUCACUUUGAUAAUAGGUUGUGCAGUGCUUGCAACCUACCAAUAUGGGAGUUCAGAAAAGCCUAUUGGUGUAGAAAAUGUGAAUUCCACCUUCAUCUUCAGUGUGCUAAACUACAACCCAGUCUCAAGGUUGAGUUACAUGAGCAUGAUCUUACUUUUUUCCAAAUAAAAGCUAAUACCGCUACCCACCUAUGCAGGAUAUGUGGUAUUAAUUUUGAUUUUCAUGCUAUAGGUGGUGAAAUUGCUUUUAAUCGUUGUGUCCAGUGUAAUUUCAAUUACCAUUUCAAAUGUCUUAGAAUACCAAAUUUUACUUCACACAAGUAUCAUAGGCAUGAGCUCAUGCUUAUGGAUUCCUAUAUAGAAGAUGAUUCUAAGAAAUAUUAUUGUGAUAUAUGUGAAGAGGAAAGAAAACCCAAGCAUUGGGUUUAUUGUUGCGAGAAAUGCAAAUUUGUUGCUCACAUCAAAUGUGCACUCAAUAAGGUAAGGAGACAUUUACUCUUUCUCUAAAGAAAUUUAAUAAAUGUUUUUUUCAUUAGAUAAACUAUUAAUUAUAGCUCACAUAUAAUGUGCCCUUUCGAAAAAUUUUGAUGCUAAUAUUGUCAUUUCCCCAGGUUGUAGUAUGAAACUUGACCAAAGUUCAAACUCUAGUUUGUUGGAUAGUGAAGCUUCAACAUUGAAGGUGAUGGAAUUGGGUCUUCUAUACUGAUAUUAUUGUGAUGUUUUCACUUGCCAAUAAAUUUUUUUGAAGUUUGCAUCACUUUAGGUCUUCUAUUAUUCCUUGGAUUUAUAUAUUAUAAAGAUUUUUUAGUAAUAAACACCAAUUACGUUUUAGAAUAAAAUUCAAUGAAAAAAAACUAAAAACUGUAAAUAAUAUAGGUAAGAAACCUCUACUUAUAUAGCCGUAUUCAAAAUUAAUUGGAGACGGCGUUAGUAAAACUAUUGAAUGUUGAAUAAAAUAAAAACAAAUACGUGCAUCAUAUUAAUUUAUGAACAUAUAUAUUUGAUUGUUUAAUUAUUGCUUCUACAUUUUAGUUUUAUCUUAAAUUUUCAUUUCUUUUACUUUUUAAACAAAAAUAAAAAGUAAAUUUUACUAUUAAUAUUGAUCUAGUUGUAAUUUUUCAUUUUCAUUCAUCCAUUUUGAAUUUGUUCCAAAUCUAUCUGUAUAUUAACAUGCGAGGAAAAUAUAAAUGGAAUUUGUCUGAUAAAUUCCACAUGUUAUGUGAAUUAUGUGAAUGUAGUCACAUGGACGUAAAUGUAGUGCUUAGAUGGCAAAUUCGUUCCAUAUUUAAUAGUGUAUUGAUGGAUAGAUGAAUUUAAAAUAAAUUCAAAAAGAUAUAGAUGGAAAAAAUUGAGUUUGUUUAUUCAUAAAUGAAAAUAAAAUAUUAUGACAAUGUUACAAACUAAGGAUGCCCUUUACUUAAAAAAUAGAGGAAGAUUAAUAACUUUAUUCACUCAACUUGGUUGUGUAGGUGCAUAUUGAACAUUUUGAUCAUCAACAUCCCUUGAGCUAUAAUGAGGCUAUUGAGCAGAAUGAAAGUCUUCUUUGCAAUGGUUGCUGUCAGGAAAUUUUUGAUCAACACUAUGCUUGUGAAGAUUGUAAAUACUACUUACAUGGAACGUGCACUACAUUGUCGUAUGAGGUGUCACACCCUCUUCAUUGCCAGCAUCCUCUCAAGCUCUUCACGGAUAAAGUUGAAUUUAUAUGUCAUGGAUGUAGGGACCAUUCUAAUGGGUUUGCUUACAUGUGCCUUCCAUGUGAUUUCCAACUUGAUGUGAAAUGUGCUACCACUCCAAUCCCACCUAAAAAUGAAGGGCAAAAGCAGACAGAGAUGGAGGAAGUUUCCAAGCUGUGCCCUUUCAAUCAAAAUCAUAAGCUAGACUUCUUCAACCGUAGACCCAAUCUCAAAGAUUUGGCUUUGGAAUGCGAUGCUUGCAAGCUACCAAUCUUGGGUCCAGGUUAUACUUGUGGUGAUUGUUUCGGUAUCAAAUUUCAUGAAUCUUGUCUUGCACUUAUGCGGGAGAUGCAACUCACCAUUCAUCCAUUACACACCCUUCAUCCACAAAUCGGCGAUUGGAUAAAUCGUUCUACCUGCGGAUUUAAAAUCAUUGAAAGUAUCAAUUAUAGUUAUUGGCAGUGUGAUUUCCAGCUUCAUCUUCAUUGUGCUAAUUCCCUGAAGCUGGCCUUAAAAAUUAAGUCUCACAUGCAUAAUCUUUAUUAGUUUGAACCAUAUUAUGAGAAAUCCUACCACUUUUGUAACAAAUGCAAAAGUUACAUUGGUGAGGAACCUUUCUAUUAUUGCGUGGAGUGCAAUAUGAAUUUGCACUUAAAAUGUGUUCCCAUACCAUGUUCAGUUAAAUCCAAAUGUCACAUGCA
rnacentral:lncRNA from 1 species